rnacentral:rRNA from 1 species
GGAAGCUUGUGCUGCUUUGCUGGCCGUGGGGGACGGGUGGCUAAUGUCUGGGAAACUGCCUGAUGGAGGGGGAUAACUACGGAAAACGGUAACUAAUACCGUCUAACGUCACAAGACCAGGGAGGUUCACCUUCGGGCCUCUUGCCUUCGGAUGUGCCCAGAUGGGAUUAGCUAGGGGGUGGGGUAACGGCUCGCCUAGGCCACGAUCCGUACCUGGUCUGAGAGGAUGACCACCGACAAUGGAACUGAGACACGACUCCUACUCCUACGGGAGGUGGCAGUGGUGAAUAUUGGACAAUGGGCCUGAUCCUGAUGUGCCCAUGCCGUGUGUAAGAACAACGCCUUCGGGUUGAAUUUAACUUUCAGCGGAGAGGGAGGCGAUAAGGUUAAUAACCUUUGACAUUGACGUUACCCUAAGAACAAGCACCGGCUAACUCCGUGCCCGCGCCGCGGUAAUACGUGAGGGUGCAAGCGUUAAUUUACAAUUACUGGGCGUAAAGCGCACGCAUUCGUUCUGUCAAAUCGGAUGUGAAAUCCCCGGGCUCAACCUGGGAACUGCAUUCUACACUGCUAGGCUUGAGUCUCGGGUGAGGGAAUUUAAUUCCAGGUGUAGAGAUGAAAUGAUUAGAGAUCGAAACGAAUACCGGAGGCGAAGGCGGCCCCCUGAACAAGAACUGACGCUCAGGUGCCAAGGCGAGCAAAGCAAACAAGAUAACAUGCCCUGCCACUCCACACCGUAUACCAUGUCGACUU